AUUGAACGCUGGCGGCAUGCCUUACACAUGCAAGUCGAACGGCAGCACGGGUGCUUGCACCUGGUGGCGAGUGGCGAACGGGUGAGUAAUACAACGGAACAUGUCCUGUAGUGGGGGAUAGCCCGGCGAAAGCCGGAUUAAUACCGCAUACGAUCUACGGAUGAAAGCGGGGGCCCUUCGGGCCUCGCGCUUUGGGGUUGGCCGAUGGCUGAUUAGCUAGUUGGUGGGGUAAAGGCCUACCAAGGCGACGAUCAGUAGCUGGUCUGAGAGGGCGACCAGCCACACUGGGACUGAGACACGGCCCAGACUCCUACGGGAGGCAGCAGUGGGGAAUUUUGGACAAUGGGCGAAAGCCUGAUCCAGCAAUGCCGCGUGUGUGAAGAAGGCCUUCGGGUUGUAAAGCACUUUUGUCCGGAAAGAAAUCCUUGGCCCUAAUACGGUCGGGGGAUGACGGUACCGGAAGAAUAAGCACCGGCUAACUACGUG
rnacentral:rRNA from 1 species